UUUUCAACAAAUGUGGCAGUCUCCAGCAAGCUUUCACAGAAAGAGAGUGCGUUCCAAUUUUUUACCUUUUAAGGCCUCAUGUCAGAUUUUGAAAAUUGAAUUUUUUUGUGGAAAUUUAAAAUAAAAAAUUUCAUCCGGCAAACGAGCGUUGUCAGUAAGAGUCAUACCUCUGCCGAGUGAAAUGAGGUUUUCAUCCAUGCAGUCAUGAGACUCAUCUUGGUGUCUUUGUGUUUCUCUGUGAUCGUUGUUGUCGUAUCUCCAGCUCAUAACGGUGGCAAUAAAAAUGCAGGUGUUGGAGGAAGAGUUGGACAAGCAAUAGAAUGGUCAAAACAGCAGGGUCAAAAAAUCAAGGACGCCAAUAUCGUGGAGCGAGUCAAAGAUCAAAUUCCAGGCAGACCCAGAAAAACAGAGACUGAACAACAAACAGAAGCAAAGCACCCUCGUGUUCCGUGCGUCCAGCACUGUGCUAAUCUUUUCGGUUUCGUCUUCGAGUCGCUCUCAACGGACAGGAUCCUGAGAUUUCUGAGGGUAUCAUCAUUCCUAUUACCAAAGGGAUAGAAGUCGAGGGGACCCAAACAAACCCGGAAAAUCAUUCAAGUUUGGUCAACGUGCACAAACACAUACCUGCGUAUUGUAAAUGCGAAGCAACGGAUGGAUUCGCUAGUUUUCUGGAAGAAAACGAAUUGGAUAUUGAAAUCUUUAAUUUUCAUAAAAAUCAUGACAGGAUACAGGCUGCUGUGGAUUACAUAUACGACGGCACCGUCAAGUUGAACAAAAGUAUGGGCAAAGACUUUCACGUACAUUGAUCAUCGAGGAUUGAUGACGUUAAUGCUUGCUGAGAUGAAAAAAGUGAAAAUAUACGAUCCUGAUCGAUGGAUGUACCUGAGAGAGCCGCAAUAAAUAUACAGUAGACUCUAGAUUAUCCGGAUUAAUUUGUGCCGGGCCCGAUCCGGAUAAAAAAAAAUCCGGAUGAUAAUAGGAAACACAAACACCAGCAACCAACACCACAGUAUUCUUAUUAUGUAUACAUCAUGUACAUACCAACUUAAACGGGCUUGAAAUAGGCAGUCAACGGUCUCUGCCUUUUAGAAUCCGAGUGUUUCUUGGAUGCCAAAUCCCGCCAGCGUUGUAAAUAACUGAUGUCGAUUGCCGUUGAUUCCGACUGCUCCGCGAUGUAGUUGAGCGCACCUGUUAGGGACUUGUAUCCUUGGGAGUGUGGAAUGGAAAAACAGGCUGGUUCACUGUCGAUCCGGGUAAUCCAGAGUCCGGAUAAUACGAAACCGGAUAAUCCAAAGUCUACUGUACUCGAUACUCGAUUGGUCUCUAUUCGAACGGAUUUGAGGAUACAAAAUAUUCACCCAAGUCUCUCACUAAACGCUUGUAUGAGAGAAUUUACUGCUAGAGCUACUGGUUCAAAUGAAAUCAAGUUAACAAUUUAAACACUUAAAAUUCUGCUAUAAAUGUGUCAAAUUCAUCACAUUCAAAGUAUUGGGAGUGACUUCAUUUGUCCUCGAUGCUCAGUCCUCUAAAUGUAUGUUACUCAUUAGGAUUUCGCUCAUUCAUCUAAUACUUCUUUGCCUGAGAGUCCUGAGAGUGAAUCAUAUGAAGAAAAUCAUAUUGGGGAAUUUCAGGAUUUUGAUUUUCUAUUUUGAUAUUUUCAAUCCUUUUGGUCAAUUAUAGUCAAUACUAUAUCGUGAAGCGCUCCUGUCUCAUGGCCGAGGAGGCGUAGCCAUAUUUCCUUCCAUUAGUUUAGCUUUUACUCUUGGUUUUUGAGUAUUUUUUACCAUGACGCAUAUUCAUGGUAUCACAAUCUCUUUUGAAAAUGUUUUUUCAUCAUUGCCUGUUUUCGUUCUGAUAUUUUUGGUGAAUAUUCUCCGUACCGAUUUAAAUAUUGAUGGCUAAAGUGCGAAAUCUUGUAUCUCUAUUGCGGUGUUUCAAAAUUUCCGCUCCUAGUGAAUUUUUUAAAAGAGAAACAAAUCAAAUUUGUAGAUUUCUACUGACGGAAAAAAAUCAAGGAGGUUUUCGAGAAAUUCCGUUGACUUGCUUUCCAAAUAAAAGCAGGGUCUGACAGAAAGUCUGCACCGUUACGGACGAACAUACGUGAUUUCGCACUUUGGCCAUUGAUAUGUAAAUUCAAAUUGACAACAAAGGCGCAAACUCAAUCUUCCGUUCGAAAUUUUUAAAGUCGGAUGUUACUUUACAUUUACGUAAGAGCACAAAAAAUAGCUCGAAUAAUGUUGCUCAUUUAAUGUUUUAGCCUUGUUUACCCAUAUUUUAAUUCCCUCCCUAUUCAUUUGAACGUAUUUAUCAUUAUUCGGAAAAUUAGCUCUUUUUGGCUUUGCAACUUCGCGUAAAAAAUUCAUACAUCCCAUCUUAAAGAAAAAUUCCUAAUUAUGAUGUUUUAAAUCAUUAAUUUGCUUGAUAUUCAGUAUUCGAUUAUUUCAUUUGAUCUCUGAGAUGAUCAAAAGUCCAGAAUUUAAUAUUGACCAUAUUAGUUAGUGACAUUCUGUAUUAUAGUGAAGGUUGAAUUUGAAAGUGUCUUCUCCUCCCACCUGAAGUGUUGUCUUUGGUUCUAGGAUAAAAUCAACGUGCAGUCGUUUGUGUCUAUCUAUGAUCAGUGUGCUAUGUAAAUCCUAUUCACCAAGCCUGCUCUACGCCAUAAAUCGAUUAAAGUGGUUGUGUGUGUCCAUUUAUUGUCUUAAUUUGUUAACAAUUGUUUCUCAUUUUCCUGGUUAAUCGCUCAAGAUUUCCAAUUCACUCGCUGAGAGCUCAGCUCCGAAUCAAAAAGAACUUACUAAACUAUCGGUCUGUCAAACUGA
rnacentral:lncRNA from 1 species